ACGGAGGGUGCAAGCGUUAAUCGGAAUCACUGGGCGUAAAGCGCACGUAGGCGGCCCGGUAAGUCAGGGGUGAAAUCCCACAGCCCAACUGUGGAACUGCCCUUGAUACUGCCUGGCUUGAGUACCGGAGAGGGUGGCGGAAUUCCAGGUGUAGGAGUGAAAUCCGUAGAUAUCUGGAGGAACACCGGUGGCGAAGGCGGCCACCUGGACGGUAACUGACGCUGAGGUGCGAAAGCGUGGGUAGCAAACAG
rnacentral:rRNA from 1 species